rnacentral:rRNA from 1 species
CUUGUGGCUGGGGGUGAAAGGCCAAUCAAACCGGGAGAUAGCUGGUUCUCCCCGAAAGCUAUUUAGGUAGCGCCUCGUGAAUUCAUCUCCGGGGGUAGAGCACUGUUUCGGCAAGGGGGUCAUCCCGACUUACCAACCCGAUGCAAACUGCGAAUACCGGAGAAUGUUAUCACGGGAGACACACGGCGGGUGCUAACGUCCGUCGUGAAGAGGGAAACAACCCAGACCGCCAGCUAAGGUCCCAAAGUCAUGGUUAAGUGGGAAACGAUGUGGGAAGGCCCAGACAGCCAGGAUGUUGGCUUAGAAGCAGCCAUCAUUUAAAGAAAGCGUAAUAGCUCACUGGUCGAGUCGGCCUGCGCGGAAGAUGUAACGGGGCUAAACCAUGCACCGAAGCUGCGGCAGCGACACUAUGUGUUGUUGGGUAGGGGAGCGUUCUGUAAGCCUGUGAAGGUGUACUGUGAGGUAUGCUGGAGGUAUCAGAAGUGCGAAUGCUGACAUAAGUAACGAUAAAGCGGGUGAAAAGCCCGCUCGCCGGAAGACCAAGGGUUCCUGUCCAACGUUAAUCGGGGCAGGGUGAGUCGACCCCUAAGGCGAGGCCGAAAGGCGUAGUCGAUGGGAAACAGGUUAAUAUUCCUGUACUUGG